GAAUACACGGAAUAAAAAACACACGCGAUGCAGCACGAAAGGUUGGGUAUAAAAAUCGGGAGUGUUUAAAAGAUUCGACGUUAGAAGAGGGAACGAGAAGUUGGAGAGUUGAACUGAAAUACCGCCUUGCCGAAGAAAAGUACGUCGCCAUGUCACGAUACGUCGUGUGGAUAUUUAUCGUUGCGAUUUUUGUUCAUAUCAAGGAACAAUCGAAGGUGACGGGCAAGGAUAUAAAGUGCGAAAGGGACGAAGAAGUGAACGUGUGUGGAAAAUUGUGCGAGGCAACAUGCAACAACCCGUACUCGAAUUCCGAACUCUGCCCUCCGAUUCCGUGCAACUGGGAAAUUACGAGGGAUUGUCGAUGCAGGCACGGCACUGUGAGAAACGAAAAGACCAAGGCUUGCAUACCGUUCUCCAAAUGUCCCAACGUUCUUUAGAAAUCACUCGACUAACGUCAAAUUGUACAAACAAAUAAAGUAUAUUUUUACCGUA